rnacentral:tRNA from 1 species
GCGCCGGUGGUGUAAUGGCGUAGAGCAUUCCCGCCCGGUCAGAGGGAGAUGCGGGUUCGAGUCCCGCCUGGCGCU